rnacentral:tRNA from 1 species
GUCGAUGUUGGUGGAGAGGACCAUGGGCCAGUCUGUAUUGCCGCAGCAGUGCAGCCCCUUGAUGCAAUGGAUGUUCUCCAGCACCUCGUCGAUCC